rnacentral:rRNA from 1 species
UACGUAGGGUGCAAGCGUUGUCCGGAAUUAUUGGGCGUAAAGAGCUCGUAGGCGGCUUGUCGCGUCUGCUGUGAAAACCCGAGGCUCAACCUCGGGCCUGCAGUGGGUACGGGCAGGCUAGAGUGCGGUAGGGGAGAUUGGAAUUCCUGGUGUAGCGGUGGAAUGCGCAGAUAUCAGGAGGAACACCGAUGGCGAAGGCAGAUCUCUGGGCCGUAACUGACGCUGAGGAGCGAAAGCAUGGGGAGCGAACAGG